GGACGAACGCUGGCGGCGUGCCUAAUACAUGCAAGUAGAACGCUGACCUCUGGUGCUUGCACUAGAGCGAUGAGUUGCGAACGGGUGAGUAACGCGUAGGUAACCUACCUUUAAGCGGGGAUAACUAUUGGAAACGAUAGCUAAUACCGCAUAACAACUUUUAACACAUGUUAGGAGUUUGAAAGGGGCAAUUGCUCCACUUAGAGAUGGACCUGCGUUGUAUUAGCUAGUUGGUAGGGUAAAGGCCUACCAAGGCGACGAUACAUAGCCGACCUGAGAGGGUGAUCGGCCACACUGGGACUGAGACACGGCCCAGACUCCUACGGGAGGCAGCAGUAGGGAAUCUUCGGCAAUGGGGGCAACCCUGACCGAGCAACGCCGCGUGAGUGAAAAGAAGGUUUUCGGAUCGUAAAGCUCUGUUGUAAGAGAAGAAUGUUGUGUAGAGUGGAAAGUUACACAAGUGACGGUAUCUUACCAGAAAGGGACGGCUAACUACGUGCCAGCAGCUGC
rnacentral:rRNA from 1 species